GAUGAACGCUGGCGGCGUGCUUAACACAUGCAAGUCGAACGGAAAGGCCUGUGCUUGCCGGGGUCCUCGAGUGGCGAACGGGUGAGUAACACGUGGGUGAUCUGCCCUGCACUUUGGGAUAAGCCUUGGAAACUGCGUCUAAUACCGGAUAGGACAAUGGCUUGGAUGCUGUUGUGGAAAGUUUUUCGGUGUGGGCUGAGCUUGCGGCCUAUCAGCUUGUUGUUGGGGUAAUGGCCUACCAAGCGGUCGACGGGAAGACGGCCUGUGAGGGUGUACGGCCAAAUUGAGAAGGAGAUAUAGACCACACAGCAGCAAGAGGCACGAGGGGCGAAUGUUGAACAAUGGGGCCAAGCCUGAUGCAAGGACGACGCGUGGGGGAUGAAGGCCUUCCGGUUGUAAGCUCCUGUCGAUAGGGAGGAAGCGUUGUUGGGACGGUGCCGGGGGAGAAAGCCGCGGCUAACUACGUG
rnacentral:rRNA from 1 species